AGAGUUUGAUCCUGGCUCAGAUUGAACGCUGGCGGCAUGCCUUACACAUGCAAGUCGAACGGUAACGCGGGGGCAACCCUGGCGACGAGUGGCGAACGGGUGAGUAAUACAUCGGAACAUAUCCAGUAGCGGGGGAUAACCUAUCGAAAGAUGGACUAAUACCGCAUACGAUCUACGGAUGAAAGCAGGGGACCGCAAGGCCUUGCACUAUUGGAGUGGCCGAUGUCGGAUUAGCUAGUUGGUGGGGUAAAAGCUUACCAAGGCGACGAUCCGUAGCUGGUCUGAGAGGACGAUCAGCCACACUGGAACUGAGACACGGUCCAGACUCCUACGGGAGGCAGCAGUGGGGAAUUUUGGACAAUGGGCGCAAGCCUGAUCCAGCCAUGCCGCGUGAGUGAAGAAGGCCUUCGGGUUGUAAAGCUCUUUCGGUGAAGACAAAACGGUUCAUGCUAAUAACGUGAACUAAUGACGGUACUCACAGAAGAAGCACCGGCUAACUACGUGCCAGCAGCCGCGGUAAUACGUAGGGCGCAGGCGUUAAUCGGAAUUACUGGGCGUAAAGCGUGCGCAGGCGGUUUGCUAAGACAGGUGUGAAAUCCCCGGGCUUAACCUGGGAAUUGCGCUUGUAACUGGCAAGCUAGAGUGUGGCAGAGGGGGGUGGAAUUCCACGUGUAGCAGUGAAAUGCGUAGAUAUGUGGAGGAACACCGAUGGCGAAGGCAGCCCCCUGGGUUAACACUGACGCUCAUGCACGAAAGCGUGGGGAGCAAACAGGAUUAGAUACCCUGGUAGUCCACGCCCUAAACUAUGUCAACUAGUUGUCGGGGAAGAAAUUCCUUGGUAACGAAGCUAACGCGUGAAGUUGACCGCCUGGGGAGUACGGCCGCAAGGUUAAAACUCAAAGGAAUUGACGGGGACCCGCACAAGCGGUGGAUUAUGUGGAUUAAUUCGAUGCAACGCGAAAAACCUUACCUACCCUUGACAUGCUAGGAAGCCCGCAGAGAUGUGGGUGUGCCCGAAAGGGAACCUAGACACAGGUGCUGCAUGGCUGUCGUCAGCUCGUGUCGUGAGAUGUUGGGUUAAGUCCCGCAACGAGCGCAACCCUUGCCAUUAGUUGCUACAUUCAGUUGGGCACUCUAAUGGGACCGCCGGUGACAAACCGGAGGAAGGUGGGGAUGACGUCAAGUCCUCAUGGCCCUUAUGGGUAGGGCUUCAC
rnacentral:rRNA from 1 species